rnacentral:rRNA from 1 species
CAGCAGCCGCGGGAAUACGUAGGUGGCAAGCGUUGUCCGGAAUUAUUGGGCGUAAAGGGCUCGCAGGCGGUUUCUUAAGUCUGAUGUGAAAGCCCCCGGCUCAACCGGGGAGGGUCAUUGGAAACUGGGAAACUUGAGUGCAGAAGAGGAGAGUGGAAUUCCACGUGUAGCGGUGAAAUGCGUAGAGAUGUGGAGGAACACCAGUGGCGAAGGCGACUCUCUGGUCUGUAACUGAUGCUGAGGAGCGAAAGCGUGGGGAGCGAACAGGAUUAGAUACCCCCGUAGUCCCUGUCUCUUAUAC